AACGAACGCUGGCGGCAUGCCUAACACAUGCAAGUCGAACGAGACCUUCGGGUCUAGUGGCGCACGGGUGCGUAACGCGUGGGAAUCUGCCCUUUGCUUCGGAAUAACAGUUAGAAAUGACUGCUAAUACCGGAUGAUGACUUCGGUCCAAAGAUUUAUCGGCAAGGGAUGAGCCCGCGUAGGAUUAGGUAGUUGGUGGGUAAAGGCCUACCAAGCCGACGAUCCUUAGCUGGUCUGAGAGGAUGAUCAGCCACACUGGGACUGAGACACGGCCCAGACUCCUACGGGAGGCAGCAGUGGGGGAAUAUUGGACAAUGGGCGAAAGCCUGAUCCAGCAAUGCCGCGUGAGUGAUGAAGGCCUUAGGGUUGUAAAGCUCUUUUACCA
rnacentral:rRNA from 1 species